ensembl:ncRNA B0457.15 ncRNA
CUUGAACAUGGCAAAAGAGAAUGGGAGCGAAGCCAUGUUUUACGACAAUUUUCCGGAUGCAAACAAGGUGAGCUUUCGAGUGGAGCCAUGGAGGCCGCCAGAGCAGGAAACGCGGUUAGCCAAGAUUUUAACGAUCUCGUGUGCUGAAUUCAUUGGCUUGGAAAGGGUUGGCUACUUGAAGUCACAUUUCAU